rnacentral:rRNA from 1 species
UACGGGGGGGGCAAGCGUUGUUCGGAAUUAUUGGGCGUAAAGAGCGUGUAGGCGGCUAGGUAGGUCCGUUGUGAAAACUCGAGGCUCAACCUCGAGACGCCGGCGGAAACCCCCUGGCUAGAGUCCGGAAGAGGAGAGUGGAAUUCCUGGUGUAGCGGUGAAAUGCGUAGAUAUCUGGAGGAACACCGGUGGCGAAGGCGGCAUCCUGGACCGACACUGACGCUGAGGCGCGAAAGCUAGGGGAGCAAACGGG